rnacentral:rRNA from 1 species
CAUUAUUGAAAUAAACCUGAUGAGUUGCUGCUGGCUCUCCUUGGGAAAAGCAUGUGCACACUUGUCAUCUUUUUAUAUCUCUACCUUGUGCAUCUUUUGUAGGCCUGGAUAUCUUUCUGAGUUUGUUAGUGACUCAGGUUUGAGGAUCGAUUUAUAUAAUCUUUCUUUACAUUUGCAGGCCUAUGUUUCUUUAUAUAUACCCCAUUGUGUGUUCUAGAAUGUAAUAAAAUGGGCCUUAUGUKCCUAUAAAACAUUAAUACAACUUUCAGCAACGGAUCUCUUGGCUCUCGCAUCGAUGAAGAACGCAGCGAAAUGCGUUAAGUAAUGUGAAUUGCAGAAUUCAGUGAAUCAUCGAAUCUUUGAACGCACCUUGCGCUCCUAGGUAUUCCUUGGAGCAUGCCUGUUUGAGUGUCAUUAAAUAUAUAUCAACCUCUUCAGCCUUUGGCUUGUUGAGCGUUGGAUGUGGGUUUGCUGGUUUCUCUCUUGAGGUCAGCUCCCCUGAAAUGCAUUAAGCUGAACAAUUUGUGGACCCCUUGUUCAUUGGUGUGAUAAUUAUCUACGCUAUUGACGAUAAAGCAAAGCUCAGCUUCUAAAUAGUCCAUUGACUUGGGCAGUAUUUAUUAUUGAAUGUGACCUCAAAUCAGGUAGGACUACCCGCUGAACUUAAGCAUAUCAAUAAGCGGAGGAAAAGAAACUAACAAGGAUUCCCCUAGUAACUGCGAGUGAAGCGGGAAAAGCUCAAAUUUAAAAUCUGGCAGUCUCUGGCUGUCCGAGUUGUAAUCUAGAGAAACGUUAUCCGCGUUGGACCGUGUACAAGUCUCCUGGAAUGGAGCAUCAUAGAGGGUGAGAAUCCCGUCUUUGACACGGACUGCCAGGGCUUUGUGAUGCGCUCUCAAAGAGUCGAGUUGUUUGGGAAUGCAGCUCAAAAUGGGUGGUAAAUUCCAUCUAAAGCUAAAUACUGGCGAGAGACCGAUAGCGAACAAGUACCGUGAGGGAAAGAUGAAAAGAACUUUGGAAAGAGAGUUAAACAGUACGUGAAAUUGCUGAAAGGGAAACGCUUGAAGUCAGUCGCGUUGGCCAGGGAUCAACUUUGCUUUUGCUUGGUGUACUUUCUGGUUGACGGGUCAGCAUCAAUUUUGACCAUUGGAAAAAGGUCAAGGGAAUGUGGCAUUUUCGGAUGUGUUAUAGCCCUUGGUUGCAUACAGUGGUUGGAAUUGAGGAACUCAGCACGCCGCAAGGCCGGGUUUUUAUUAAAUCACGUACGUG